rnacentral:rRNA from 1 species
AUUGAACGCUGGCGGCAGGCCUAACACAUGCAAGUCGAGCGGAGCGGCGGACGGGUGAGUAAUGCCAAGGAAUCUGCAAGGUAGUGGGGGAUAACGUCCGGAAACGGGCGCUAAAACCGCAUACUCUCAGAAUCGCCUAGGUCGGAUUCGAUAGGUGGGGGGGUAAAGGUCUCCCAAGGCGACGAUCCGUAACUGUUCUGAGAGGAUGAUCAGUCACACUGGAACUGAGACACGGUCCAGAUUCCUACGGGAGGCAGCAUUGGGGAAUAUUGGACAAGGGGCGAAAGCCUGAUCCAGCCAUGCCGCGGGUGUGAAGAAGGUCUUCGGAUUGUAAAGCACUUUAAGUUGGGAGGCGUUACCAGCAGAAUAAGCACCGGCUAACUUCGUGCCAGCAGCCGCGGUAAUAC